rnacentral:rRNA from 1 species
GAUUCUGGCUCAGGAUGAACGCUGGCGGCGUGCUUAACACAUGCAAGUCGAACGGAGUGUAAACGCUGAAGCGAUUUCGGUCAAUUCUUGUUUAUACUUAGUGGCGGACGGGUGAGUAACGCGUGGGUAACCUGCCGUAUGCAGGGGGACAACAGUUGGAAACGACUGCUAAUACCGCAUAAGCGCACAGUACCGCAUGGUACGGUGUGAAAAGAUCUAUCGGCAUACGAUGGACCCGCGUCUGAUUAGCUAGUUGGUGAGGUAACGGCCCACCAAGGCGACGAUCAGUAGCCGGCCUGAGAGGGUGAACGGCCACAUUGGGACUGAGACACGGCCCAAACUCCUACGGGAGGCAGCAGUGGGGAAUAUUGGACAAUGGGGGAAACCCUGAUCCAGCCGACGCCGCGUGAGUGAAGAAGUAUUUCGGUAUGUAAAGCUCUAUCAGCAAGGAAGAAAAUGACGGUACUUGACUAAGAAGCUCCGGCUAAAUUACGUGCCAGCAGCCGC